rnacentral:rRNA from 1 species
GUGGAGCAUGUGGCUUAAUUUGACUCAACGCGGGGAAUCUUACUAGGGUCAGGACCGAUUCAUGAUUGUCACCGAGAGUGUCGCCGGUACAAGAUUGUUGGAUGAGUGGUGCAUGGCCGUUCUUAGUUCGUGGUGUGAUUCGUCGCAUUAAUUUGUUUCGAAUCAAUUGUUGUUGAUCGUAGCAACGAACGAGACCGUGAUCUGUUGCGAGCAGGCGCAACUUAACUACAGAGACAGGGUAAUACUACUACACACCAGGAAGGACACGGCAAUAACAGGUCUGUGAUGCCCUCAGAUGUUCUAGGCCGCACACGUGCUACAAUUGCUUCCGUAGUUGUAGUGCGCGUGUUGUGAGAUCUCCCGCGUCGAGUCAAAAUUGAGUCCCCUAGUUGAGAUCGUCGGUUGUAACUAUCUGACGUCGUAACUAGGAAUGCCUCGUACGGUGGGAUCAACGAGUUCCAUUGGAAUCCGUCCCUGCCCUUUGUACACACCGCCCGUCGCUCUUACCGAUGGCGGUGGUUUCGAAUGUUACCGAGCGGGUCUCGCGACUCGCAACGUAGUAUGAGAAACCACCGCUAAAGGAAAGAGAAGUCGUAACAAGGCAUCG